rnacentral:rRNA from 1 species
CCUACGGGUGGCAGCAGUGGGGAAUAUUGGACAAUGGGGGAAACCCUUAUCCAGCGACGCCGCGUGAGGGAAGAAGGUUUUCGGAUUGUAAACCUCUGUCAGUGGGGACGAUAAUGACGGUACCCACGGAGGAAGCCACGGCUAACUACGUGCCAGCAGCCGCGGUAAUACGUAGGUGGCAAGCGUUGUCCGGAAUUACUGGGUGUAAAGGGAGCGUAGGCGGGAUGUCAAGUCAGAAGUGAAAAUUAGGGGCUAAAUUUAUAACCUGCUUUUGAAACUGAUAUUUUGGAGGGAAGUAGAGGCAAGCGGAAGUCCUGGUGUAGCGGUGAAAGGCGUAGAUAGUAGGAGGAACACCAGUGGCGAAGGCGGCUUGCUGGGCUUUUACGGACGCGGAGGCUCGAAAGCGUGGGGAGCAAACAGGAUUAGAUACCCCGGUAGUC